UACGUAGGGUGCGAGCGUUGUCCGGAUUUAUUGGGCGUAAAGGGCUCGUAGGCGGCCUGUCGCGUCGGGAGUGAAAGCCCACUGCUUAACGGUGGGUCUGCUUCCGGUACGGGCGGGCUGGAGUAUGGCAGGGGAGACUGGAAUUCCUGGUGUAGCGGUGAAAUGCGCAGAUAUCAGGAGGAACACCGGUGGCGAAGGCGGGUCUCUGGGCCGAUACUGACGCUGAGGAGCGAAAGCGUGGGGAGCGAACAGG
rnacentral:rRNA from 1 species